rnacentral:lncRNA from 1 species
GGUUACCCCUUGCAGUGCACAGCAUGGCCGGGCAUGCUGGCAUGGUGGUCAUCCUAGCACCGGGAAGCUGGCAGGUGUGAGGUGUGUUCCCGGUGUCCAACGGACACUGCAGGACGCAGGGCAAGGGUGACGCCGCGGAGCCUGAGCAUGGACGGGAGGCAGGCGGCAGGACCUGAAGUCUCCUGCCUGCUUUCCGCAGCGCCCUGAGCAGCUUCCUCCUGGGAUCCCACGGAAACCGGUUUGGGAGCAGGUUGGCCCAGGUCGUUUGACUUUUGACUGGG